rfam:Fictibacillus enclensis strain NIO-1003 genomic scaffold Scaffold1, whole genome shotgun sequence.
AAGGCGGUAUCCUGCAUUUAGGAACUGCACUUUCUGAGAAGGAAAGAUUAACGUAUUAAUCUGCCUAGAUCCAUAAAGGACCGGGACAGAGGG